GCCGAAGUGGCGGAACUGGCAGACGCGCAGGAUUCAAAAUCCUGUCCUCGCAAGAGGGUGUGGGUUCAAUUCCCACCUUCGGCACUA
rnacentral:tRNA from 2 species